UGGCCAAUGACGAGGUGGACAACAUGCAAUCUGAGUUCUGGGCACCAGAUGAUGGAGUGUUUUCUAAGGCUAAACUGAAGUCG
rfam:Tupaia chinensis contig64912, whole genome shotgun sequence.